CCCGCCUCCUGCGCCUCCUCCACCGCCCCGAGUGCCAGCCCUGCGGGGACACGGGAGAGAGCACCCUCGCAGCCUCCACCUGAGACCCCUGAGCGGUCAGAACGCCAGAGAGCCAAGGAUCUGGGGGAUGACAUGUCGGGGUGGUGACGGGAUUAGAAGUUCUGGCCUGUUCCGAAGGCUGCGGGGGUGCCGGUUAAGUUUGUAGACUGCGGCAUAGGAACAGAAGCUACUCCAGAAGCAGAUGCAGUGUUGGAAUUCAAGCCCCAAUCCACCGUGUCUAUACACCUUUUUACCACGCAGCUGCUCCAGUGACUCGAACUUUGGCAUCAUCAGAUUGAGAUUCAAGUAUGGCUUCUACCACUUCUACCACAUGGGACACUGGACAGAUAACUUCGACUCCAAGCCUUGAUAUUUUUAUCUAUAGAAUGGAACACAAAGCUCCCGAAAUCCAAGACCAAUUGGCACUUAUUUGAAGUGUAUGGUAGUGGUGGACCUUCAGAGACUCUGCCAACCCUCUGUUUCAAGUAAAAGUUUCAUUGUUUCAUACUGUGGCAUGAAAAAAAAAUCUUAAUACUGGGGCAGGUCACCUUCCUACAAGGUGUUGGCCAGGGAGGACCUUGAUGUCUAUCACAUAAUAAAAGUUAUUACAAUGUGCCAGAAGUGGUGGUAAGUCCCUGUUGCUGAGACACCACAUGCUUCAUUCAGCAGCAGAAUCUAAAGAUACCAGACAGAAGCUCCACCCCUGACUGCUGGCCAUUGUGAUGCUAGAAGGUGCUAGGCAGGAUGAUGAGGAAGAAUUGUCACUGAUGGUCCCGAUACAUAUGACACUACUUUAUUAGUCACUUUCCUGUGACCAAGGCAACUUAUAGAAGG